AUUUUAAUAUUGUAAAUGAUUAAUUUAUAGAUUAUUUUUAAAUCUAAUAUUUAUAAUAUUAAUGCAUUGCAUUGUUUCUCAUUUUUAUUGUUUUAAAUGCUGUUAGCCUCCCAUUAUUGGGAGAAAAGUGGAAUAUAAAUGAAUAAAAUAUGAAAUACAAGAUGAAAGUGAUGCCUGUUACAUUUGUUUCUAUUCAGAAAGUGGGAGUUAAGGGCAGCAUACCUGUGCUUAUCAAAUUGUAAGAGGGUAGCCAUCCUGUAAGGCAGUGGUUCUCAAGCUGUGGGUCUCCAGGUGUUUUGGCCUACAACUCCCAGAAAUCCCAGCCAGUUUACCAGCUGUUAGGAUUUCUGGGAGUUGAUGGCCAAAAUAUCUGGAGUCCCAAUGGUUGAGAACCACUGCUAUAAGGAAAGAAAAGGAAGAGGAAAAGAAGAAGCAGCAGCAACAGCUUUGAACCUGAAAGUGCUUUCAGACAGAGUCAAAAUGGGGGUUUUAAAGAUGGAGAAAAAGAUACCAGGACCUGACAACAAGUCCAGACACAGACCUGUCAGUCCCAGGAAAUGCUCCACCUUCUUUUGAAGUGGAUCAAGAUGGAUGGUGGAUGGGGGACAUCCUGCGGAAAUUUUUGCAGUCCACACAGGGAGUGAAGCUGCACCACCUUGAAAGUUUCCAUCACUAUCAUUGAAUGGGAAGGAGAAGGCCUCAAAACACUUCUCCAGAAUCUGUUCAGACUGUAGGACAAGAUGCCACAGUUCACCAAAGGAUGGUAAGAAAUUCUGCAUGCUUCCUCUUCUGAGAAGUGAAUCACUGUUCUGGAACUGCACGUCUACAACCUUCCUGCUCCAAAGCUUGAAAGCUUAGACCUCAGUCAAAAAUGUAUGAAUGUACUGUUACUUAUUUGAAGGACAAUCUCGGGUACUUUCUUUUAUCUUACUUCUGUUUAGCUGCUUUGUAUUUGUGACAAGAGUAUCAUUCAGUCCCUGCAACCUUUAUACAAAAAUAAUCUGGACAAAUUAUAAUUAUUUUAGUAUUGUUCAGGGCAAAUUGAAUAGAACCCCAGCCUCAUUUAUAUACUCAAAAACUGAUGAUAAUGGUUAUUACUCCAUAUAAUUAAAUAAAUAAUGUUUUACCAAA